rnacentral:lncRNA from 1 species
GGGGGCAGGAAAGACCAGACAGAGCUGCAUCUCCCAUGAAAACAACUGUGUACAUAAGAUAGAGUGAGUACAUAGAGUACAUAGAAGAGUGAGCUCUGAAAGAACUCUCACAUGGACCCCAGAAAGAGGAGUACUCAACGCCUGCUGCACAGAAGGCAUCAGCAGUUAAGUACUGGCUAGAAAAGCGGAGUCCAUCAAAGGAGAGGACCACAGUGGUAGCUGCCUGCUAAAGCUCUCAGCGUGAAUCAUGUUCCAUCAAUGAAACACACACACAUGUGCAAUAUGGAAGAUGAGUGAAAUCCAGGCUAUCUUCCUGAAGCUACUGUUCCUGGCAAGUGUAGCUGUGGGGACUGAGUUUUGGGCAGCAGCAAAUAACUCCCAGCUUCCAUGUGCUUGAGAGUCAGUUGCCGGGAUGCCAGCAGCUGCAUCCUCAGUCUAAGAUUGCAGCCAAUGAUGAUGUUUUCAUGAAUCCACCGUUCACGUGGCAGCCUCCUGGAGCUCAGACUGAUGCCUGCUCCUCCAGCCUUCCAAUACCUUUGCAAACACCUGAAUUCCACAUUAAUCUCUCUCUGUUUAGAAUACCCAGAGUGGCUUGUGUUUCCUGGGCUGAACCCUGCCUGGAGAGCUGUCCCUGCAAGCUGAACUAACAGA